rnacentral:lncRNA from 1 species
AACUCUCAAGGUUAAUUCUCUUAGUGCCCCACCUGGAUCCUCUUUACAGGCAGUGCGCCCACCCCCUGGCUGCUGUUUGUGUUGCCUGAUGACAAUUCACAGCUGCCCCUACUCCUGAAAAUAGUCCUCAGCCAAAUAGAAGUCUCCUUGCCCAGGAGGCAACACCCGCUACUGCCCAGGGCAGAUCUCAGCCAAUGGCAGCAGACUUAAUGGGACAAAAAGCUGGCCCCCUUGCCUGAAGCUGGGCUUAGUUUUACGGUGAAACUCCAGCCUCUCUGUGGAAUCAAACUGAAACUAAUCUUUAGCAGUCUUGUUGCUCAGGAACCAAACUUUAAGACAGCUGGCAUCAGAAAUGGUCUCAGGAAGCUGACUCUGAGGAUGGGAUUCUGGAGUUGGCUUGCUUGCUGGCUGGAUGGCAAUGAAGACCCCAUAGCUGAAGGAUGAAGGAGGAGCCUGUCAGAGGAGAAGGCAAUGUGAUGCUAGAAGCAGAGGUUGGAGGGGAUACACUUUGAAGAUGGAGGAAGGGGCCACAAGCCAAGGGAUACAGGCAGCCACUAGAAGCUAAAAAAGGCAAGGAAGUGAAUUCUCCCUUAGAGACUCCAGAAGGAACCAGCCCUGCUAACACCUUGACUUUGGCCCAUCGAAACUGGUUUUUGGACUUUUGACCUCCAGAACUAUCAAGACUAAAUUUAUAUUAUUUUAAGGCACUAGUUUGUAGAAUUUGUUGCAGGAGCAAAAGGAAACUAAUAUACCAUCUCAACUCAUUUAAUGCUGACUAGUUGGAAACCACAGAUUGAUAUGUCAGUGAGACACACCAUCCAGUCUCAAAUCAUGUCUAUCCCUCUCCUGAAUGGAUUUCUCAGUUCUGUCCACUUUUUCCAUCUCUGCUGUUGCUGUCCUAGCCCAGGCCCCUCUCACCUGCUCUACUAUAAUGGAUUUCUCCCCUUCAAAUCCCAUUCUCUUUCUUUUAGCCAAAGUGGUUAUGUUUUGUUUUGUUUUUACAAAUCAGACCAUGUCAUUCCUCUGCUUCAGACCGACCUAGUGGCUGCUCACUGCCCUCAGGAUAAAGCCUCAGGGAUAAACAGAGUCACUAGGUUGAAAGGCUCCUCACUGCUUGCAGACGCUCUGGGAAACAGGCCCUGUUGGGCUCUACAGCACUCAGUUCAGGGGUUUAUGUGGGCUGGACUGUGUUAGGCUGGGGAGGGUGUGGGGUUGAGGGUGAUAAAUGGGGACUGU